AUAUUAACUGAUGAUGUGAUGGAUUGCUUGGUUGCUUUUUUGACUCUAUUUAUGGCUUUCAAAUGCAAUUUGUAUAUGAAGAGUGUCUCGAGCUCUGCCUUGAGAAGAACAGUUGGAGUGGAGGAAGUUGUCCUGUCAUCCUCCUAUGGACGUCCUGCAUCAUAUAUUGAAGUACAAACAACGUGUAUCUUACUAUGAAUUUGUUAGCUUGGUGGUGAAGUCAGAGGAAGUCAAUGAACACUUGGGUGCAUUGCCCUGGAGAUUGACUUUCUGUGAAACUGGAGUGAUUUACAGUGCAGCAGCAAUUAUAUGUACAUUAUUUAGUCAAGAUUAUGCACUCAGUGGUGGAGGAAUUUUGAUAAUGUGCAGAUAUAGUAGUCUGGCCUUUUCAUC